AUGACCAACAUUCGCAAAACUCACCCAUUAGCCAAAAUCAUCAACAACUCGCUCAUCGAUCUACCCGCGCCAUCGAAUAUUUCAGCAUGAUGAAAUUUUGGAUCCCUACUAGGAACCUGCUUAAUCCUUCAGAUUCUUACAGGUUUAUUUUUAGCCAUACACUACACAUCAGACACAACCACAGCCUUCUCAUCAGUCGCACACAUUUGCCGAGACGUCAACUACGGCUGAAUUAUCCGAUACAUACACGCAAACGGAGCCUCCAUAUUCUUCAUCUGCCUGUUCCUACAUGUAGGACGCGGCCUAUACUACGGAUCUUAUAUAUUCCCUGAAACAUGAAACACCGGUAUUAUUCUACUAUUCGCAACCAUAGCAACAGCAUUCAUAGGUUACGUAUUACCAUGAGGACAAAUAUCCUUUUGAGGCGCAACCGUAAUCACCAACUUACUAUCAGCCAUCCCAUACAUCGGAACUAGUCUUGUAGAAUGAAUCUGAGGAGGGUUCUCAGUAGACAAAGCCACCCUGACACGAUUCUUCGCUUUCCACUUUAUCCUGCCAUUCAUCAUCUUAGCACUAGCAACAAUCCACCUGCUAUUUCUCCACGAAACAGGAUCCAACAACCCCUCCGGAAUUCCAUCCAACUCUGACAAAAUCCCAUUUCACCCCUACUACACCAUCAAAGACAUCCUAGGAGCCCUACUCCUAGCCCUAAUACUUAUAAUACUAGUACUAUUCUCCCCAGACCUGUUAGGAGACCCAGACAACUACACUCCUGCCAACCCGCUCAAUACACCACCCCAUAUCAAACCUGAAUGAUACUUUCUAUUCGCGUACGCAAUCCUACGAUCCAUCCCUAACAAACUUGGAGGAGUAUUGGCCCUAGUCCUAUCUAUCCUAAUCCUAGCCAUCAUCCCACUAUUACACACCUCAAAACAACGGAGCAUAAUAUUCCGACCACUAAGCCAAUGCCUAUUCUGACUAUUAGUAGCUGACCUUCUUACCCUAACCUGAAUCGGCGGUCAACCAGUAGAACAUCCAUUCAUCACCAUUGGCCAACUAGCCUCAAUCCUUUACUUCACACUCCUCUUAAUUCUCAUACCAAUCGCGAGCAUUAUCGAGAACAACCUAUUAAAAUGAAGA
rnacentral:tRNA from 1 species